ensembl:lncRNA
CAGCUGUUGGUUUUGGAAAGAUCAGCUCAGUGGAGCCUGGCUAGGGAUGGAUUGACCUCGGGCUUGGGGGGGGGGUGAUGGGAGGAAUCAAGCUGCCCUUCUCCUGAUGAAGGUUUGCACAGCUGUGGGGAAGAGAUCCAUCCCCUGUGUGCUCGGCAGCCCUCUGAAGCCGACUCCAAGCCUCAUAGAUGAAGAAAGAAAGAGACUCUGCCAUCAUGCAGCCUUGAGAAAAUAAAAAGGUGGUUCAGAUGGACCACAAACUGGAGAGUGUCCUGAAGAUCCUGAUGGAACAGUUCCAACUCGAACCAGAGCUGCUUCAGAAACCAAGCCACUGCAGCUCCCGCUUAAUGAAACGCCAGAGUGGCAGCAUGAAGAAAGGACAAUGAGAGCAACAGAAAGCAGGGUUCAUAGAGAGAAGAGAGCUCGAAGAAGGCGAAAGUUAGUGUAAGAGGAGCGUUUUUUCUUUUUCUUUUAGGCUUUUUUUUCCAGAUCACUCAUGAAAAUAAAUGAGAGCACAAUUCAAACUGUGAUUAUCUCACACUGCUCUGUAUUGUUUUAUAACUAAUGUACAUAAUGUAGCAUUGGCUCAUUACAUUUCUGCCAUGACUAUCACCAGGAUCUAUUAAUGUAAGAAGAAUCAGCAUUGUAAUAUAU